rnacentral:rRNA from 1 species
CCUACGGGAGGCAGCAGUAAGGAAUAUUGGACAAUGGACGCAAGUCUGAUCCAGCCAUGCCGCGUGAAGGAUUAAGGCCCUCUGGGUUGUAAACUUCUUUUAUAGGGGACGAAAAAAGGGCUUUCUAGCUCGACUGACGGUACCCUAUGAAUAAGCACCGGCUAACUCCGUGCCAGCAGCCGCGGUAAUACGGAGGGUGCAAGCGUUAUCCGGAUUCACUGGGUUUAAAGGGUGCGUAGGCGGGCAGUUAAGUCAGUGGUGAAAUCUCUGGGCUCAACCCGGAAACUGCCAUUGAUACUAUCUGUCUUGAAUAUUGUGGAGGUGAGCGGAAUAUGUCAUGUAGCGGUGAAAUGCUUAGAUAUGACAUAGAACACCGAUUGCGUAGGCAGCUCGCUACACAUAUAUUGACGCUGAGGCACGAAAGCGUGGGGAUCAAACAGGAUUAGAUACCCUGGUAGUCCACGCCCUAAACUAUGAUUACUCGACAUAUGCGAUACACUGUAUGUGUCUGAGNGAAGACAUAAGUAAUACCACCGAGGUAGUACGACCGACGACGUUAGUAACGUACGAAGAAGUUAGUACGGACGUUGAGACGNGCCGACGGACGACGACGACGGGAGGUAGG